CAGAAGUGGAAUUACAGAGCCCAACAUCUAAAAGUCCUCAUACGUCUGAUAAAAACAUAGAAUGUGAAAGCCAAAAUUUUGGUGAAAAUGACAAGCAAAGCACUGAGGAAGAUAUUUCCAGAGUUGUACCAGCCAAACAACAUGCAUCACCUAAAUCAACAUAUAGAACAGCUAAAUCUAACAGAAGAGAAAAUGAGAUGUCUCCUUUUAGCAAACUUUAUGAAUUGUUGAAAAAUGAGAUUGAUGUGAAAACACAGAAAGAUGGCAACGAAGAGAUACCUAUGCCACGACAAGCAGAGACUAAUGCCCAGCAAAUUUCAUUAUUGGUAUUUCCAU
rnacentral:lncRNA from 1 species